AAACAAAUGCAUAGCAACUAUUACACUGAACUAAGUCUGCCAUUCCAAUGAGGAAUGGCAGACUUAGUUCAGUGUAAUAGUUGCUAUGCAUUUAAUAAUAA
rnacentral:miRNA from 1 species